GACGAACGCUGGCGGCGUGCUUAACACAUGCAAGUCGAACGGAAAGGCCCUGCUUUUGUGGGGUGCUCGAGUGGCGAACGGGUGAGUAACACGUGAGUAACCUGCCCUUGACUUUGGGAUAACUUCAGGAAACUGGGGCUAAUACCGGAUAGGAGCUCCUGCUGCAUGGUGGGGGUUGGAAAGUUUCGGCGGUUGGGGAUGGACUCGCGGCUUAUCAGCUUGUUGGUGGGGUAGUGGCUUACCAAGGCUUUGACGGGUAGCCGGCCUGAGAGGGUGACCGGCCACAUUGGGACUGAGAUACGGCCCAGACUCCUACGGGAGGCAGCAGUGGGGAAUAUUGCACAAUGGGCGGAAGCCUGAUGCAGCAACGCCGCGUGCGGGAUGACGGCCUUCGGGUUGUAAACCGCUUUCGCCUGUGACGAAGCGUGAGUGACGGUAAUGGGUAAAGAAGCACCGGCUAACUACGUGCCAGCAGCCGCGGUGAUACGUAGGGUGCGAGCGUUGUCCGGAUUUAUUGGGCGUAAAGGGCUCAUAGGUGGUUGAUCGCGUCGGAAGUGUAAUCUUGGGGCUUAACCCUGAGCGUGCUUUCGAUACGGGUUGACUUGAGGAAGGUAGGGGAGAAUGGAAUUCCUGGUGGAGCGGUGGAAUGCGCAGAUAUCAGGAGGAACACCAGUGGCGAAGGCGGUUCUCUGGGCCUUUCCUGACGCUGAGGAGCGAAAGCGUGGGGAGCGAACAGGCUUAGAUACCCUGGUAGUCCACGCUGUAAACGGUGGGUACUAGGUGUGGGGUCCAUUCCACGGGUUCCGUGCCGUAGCUAACGCUUUAAGUACCCCGCCUGGGGAGUACGGCCGCAAGGCUAAAACUCAAAGGAAUUGACGGGGCCCCGCACAAGCGGCGGAGCAUGCGGAUUAAUUCGAUGCAACGCGUAGAACCUUACCUGGGUUUGACAUGGAUCGGGAGUGCUCAGAGAUGGGUGUGCCUCUUUUGGGGUCGGUUCACAGGUGGUGCAUGGCUGUCGUCAGCUCGUGUCGUGAGAUGUUGGGUUAAGUCCCGCAACGAGCGCAACCCUUGUUCACUGUUGCCAGCACGUUAUGGUGGGGACUCAGUGGAGACCGCCGGGGUCAACUCGGAGGAAGGUGGGGAUGACGUCAAGUCAUCAUGCCCCUUAUGUCCAGGGCUUCACGCAUGCUACAAUGGCUGGUACAGAGAGUGGCGAGCCUGUGAGGGUGAGCGAAUCUCGGAAAGCCGGUCUCAGUUCGGAUUGGGGUCUGCAACUCGACCUCAUGAAGUCGGAGUCGCUAGUAAUCGCAGAUCAGCAACGCUGCGGUGAAUACGUUCCCGGG
rnacentral:rRNA from 1 species